AGAGUUUGAUCCUGGCUCAGGACGAACGCUGGCGGCGUGCUUAACACAUGCAAGUCGAACGAUGACCUCCAGCUUGCUGGGGUGAUUAGUGGCGAACGGGUGAGUAACACGUGAGUAACCUGCCCUCCACUCUGGGAUAAGCACUGGAAACGGUGUCUAAUACCGGAUACGAGCUUCCGCCGCAUGGUGAGGAGCUGGAAAGAAUUUUGGUGGUGGAUGGACUCGCGGCCUAUCAGGUAGUUGGUGAGGUAAUGGCUCACCAAGCCGACGACGGGUAGCCGGCCUGAGAGGGUGACCGGCCACACUGGGACUGAGACACGGCCCAGACUCCUACGGGAGGCAGCAGUGGGGAAUAUUGCACAAUGGGCGAAAGCCUGAUGCAGCAACGCCGCGUGAGGGACGACGGCCUUCGGGUUGUAAACCUCUUUUAGUAGGGAAGAAGCGUAAAAGUGACGGUACCUGCAGAAAAAGCACCGGCUAACUACAUGCCAGCAGCCGCGGUAAUACGUAGGGUGCAAGCGUUGUCCGGAAUUAUUGGGCGUAAAGAGCUCGUAGGCGGUUUGUCGCGUCUGCUGUGAAAUCCGGAGGCUCAACCUCCGGCCUGCAGUGGGUACGGGCAGACAAGAGUGCGGUAGGGGAGAUUGGAAUUCCUGGUGUAGCGGUGGAAUGCGCAGAUAUCAGGAGGAACACCAAUGGCGAAGGCAGAUCUCUGGGCCGUAACUGACGCUGAGGAGCGAAAGCAUGGGGAGCGAACCAGGAUUAGAUACCCUGGUAGUCCAUGCCGUAAACGUUGGGAACUAGGCGUAGGGUCCAUUCCACGGAUUUCUGUGCCGCAGCUAACCGCAUUAAGUUCCCCGCCUGGA
rnacentral:rRNA from 1 species